rnacentral:ncRNA from 3 species
UACGAAGGGGGCUAGCGUUGCUCGGAAUCACUGGGCGUAAAGGGUGCGUAGGCGGGUUUUUAAGUCAGAGGUGAAAUCCUGGAGCUCAACUCCAGAACUGCCUUUGAUACUGGGAAUCUUGAGUAUGGAAGAGGUGAGUGGAACUGCGAGUGUAGAGGUGAAAUUCGUAGAUAUUCGCAAGAACACCAGUGGCGAAGGCGGCUCACUGGUCCAUAACUGACGCUGAGGCACGAAAGCGUGGGGAGCAAACAGG